GACGAACGCUGGCGGCGUGCUUAACACAUGCAAGUCGAACGGAAAGGCCCUGCUUUUGUGGGGUGCUCGAGUGGCGAACGGGUGAGUAACACGUGAGUAACCUGCCCUUGACUUUGGGAUAACUUCAGGAAACUGGGGCUAAUACCGCACAGGAGCUCCUGCUGCAUGGGGUGGGAGGGAAAGUGUCGGCGGUGGGGGAUGGACUCGCGGCUUAUCAGCUUGUUGGUGGGGUAGUGGCGUACCAGGGCUUUGACGGGUAGCCGGCUUGGGAGGGUGACCGGGCACAAUGGGACUGAGGAAGGGCCCAGACGGCAACGGGGGGCAGCAGUGGAGAACAUUGCGCGAUGGGCGGAAGGCUGAUACAGCGACGUCGCGUGCGGGAUGACGGCUUUCGGGGUGUAAACCGCGUGCGCCUGGGACGAAGAGUGAGUGACGGUAACUGGUAAGGAAGCAACGGCUAACUACGUG
rnacentral:rRNA from 1 species